rnacentral:rRNA from 1 species
GACGAACGCUGGCGGCGUGCUUAACACAUGCAAGUCGAACGGUGAAAGCGGAGCUUGCUCCGCUGGAUCAGUGGCGAACGGGUGAGUAACACGUGGGUAACCUGCCCCUCACUUCGGGAUAACUCCGGGAAACCGGGGCUAAUACCGGAUAUGACCUCCUUGGGCAUCCUUGGAGGUGGAAAGUUUUUCGGUGAGGGAUGGGCCCGCGGCCUAUCAGCUUGUUGGUGAGGUAGUGGCUCACCAAGGCGACGACGGGUAGCCGGCCUGAGAGGGCGACCGGCCACACUGGGACUGAGACACGGCCCAGACUCCGACGGGAGGCAGCAGUGGGGAAUAUUGCGCAAUGGGCGAAAGCCUGACGCAGCAACGCCGCGUGCGGGAUGACGGCCUUCGGGUUGUAAACCGCUUUCAGCAGGGAAGAAGCCGCAAGGUGACGGUACCUGCAGAAGAAGCACCGGCUAACUACGUGCCAGCCGCCGCCGUAA